GACGAACGCUGGCGGCGUGCUUAACACAUGCAAGUCGAACGGAAAGGCCCUGCUUUUGUGGGGUGCUCGAGUGGCGAACGGGUGAGUAGCACGUGAGUAACCUGCCCUUGACUUUGGGAUAACUUCAGGAAACUGGGGCUAAUACCGGAUAGGAGCUCCUGCUGCAUGGUGGGGGUUGGAAAGUUUCGGCGGUUGGGGAUGGACUCGCGGCUUAUCAGCUUGUUGGUGGGGUAGUGGCUUACCAAGGCUUUGACGGGUAGCCGGCCUGGGAGGGUGACCAGCCACAUUGGGACUGAGGUACGGCCCAGACUCCUACGGGAGGCAGCAGUGGGGAAUAUUGCGCAGUGGGCGGAAGCCAGAUGCAGCAACGCCGCGUGCGGGAUGACGGCCUUCGGGUUGUAAACCGCUUUCGCCUGUGACGAAGCGUGAGUGACGGUAAUGGGUAAAGAAGCACCGGCUAACUACGUG
rnacentral:rRNA from 1 species